GACGUAGGGCGCGAGCGUUGUCCGGAUUUAUUGGGCGUAAAGAGCUCGUAGGCGGCUUGUCGCGUCGACCGUGAAAACUUGGGGCUCAACCCCAAGCCUGCGGUCGAUACGGGCAGGCUCGAGUUCGGUAGGGGAGACUGGAAUUCUUGGUGUAGCGGUGAAAUGCGCAGAUAUCAGGAGGAACACCGAUGGCGAAGGCAGGUCUCUGGGCCGAUACUGACGCUGAGGAGCGAAAGCGUGGGGAGCGAACAGG
rnacentral:rRNA from 1 species